CGGGACGUGGCGCAGCCUGGUAGCGCGCUACACUGGGGGUGUAGAGGUCGCAAGUUCAAAUCUUGUCGUCCCGACUA
rnacentral:tRNA from 1 species